rnacentral:misc_RNA from 1 species
UAAAUCUAAACAAUACAAUAAAAAAGAUCAUAGGUUAAAGAAUAGA